GAGUUUGAUCAUGGCUCAGAACGAACGCUGGCGGCAGGCCUAACACAUGCAAGUCGAGCGGUCGUAGCAAUACGACAGCGGCGCACGGGUGAGUAGCGCGUGGGAACCUGCCCUUUGGUUCGGAACAACCCUGGGAAACUAGGGCUAAUACCGGAUAAGCCUCCGCGAGGAGGGAAAGAUUUAUCGCCGAAGGAGGGGCCCGCGUCCGAUUAGCUAGUUGGUGGGGUAAUGGCCUACCAAGGCUGCGAUCGGUAGCCGGUCUGAGAGGACGAUCGGCCACACUGGGACUGAGACACGGGCCCAGACUCCUACGGGACGGCAGCAGUGGGGAAUAUUGGACAAUGGCGCAAGCCUGAUCCAGCCAUGCCGCGUGGGU
rnacentral:rRNA from 1 species